rnacentral:rRNA from 1 species
UGGAUUCGCUAGUAAUCGCGCAUCAGCCAUGGCGCGGUGAGUACGUUCCCGGGCCUUGUACACACCGCCCGUCAAGCCAUGGAAGCCGGGGGCGCUUGAAGUGCGUUGCCGCAAGGCGCGCCCUAGAGCGAAACCGGUGACUGGGGCUAAGUCGUAACAAGGUAGC